GACGAACGCUGGCGGCGUGCUUAACACAUGCCAGUGGAGCGACGAACCAGGGCUUGCCCUGGGGCAGAGCCGCGAACGGGUGAGUAACACGUGGGUAACGUGCCCCGAUGACUGGGACAACCCGGGGAAACCCGGGCUAAUACCGGAUGUGCCCCCUCACAUCAGUGAGGUGUGUAAAGGAAGCUUCGGCCUCCGCAUCGGGAUCGGCCCGCGGCCCAUUAGCUUGUUGGUGAGGUAACGGCUCACCAAGGCUGCGAUGGGUAGCUGGUCUGAGAGGACGAUCAGCCACACUGGGACUGAGACACGGCCCAGACUCCUACGGGAGGCAGCAGUGGGGAAUCUUGCGCAAUGCGCGAAAGCGUGACGCAGCAACGCCGCGUGGGGGAAGACGGCCUUCGGGUUGUAAACCCCUUUCAGUUGGGACGAAGGUCGGGCGGUUAACAGCCGUUCCGGCUGACGGUACCUUCACAAGAAGCCCCGGCUAACUACGUG
rnacentral:rRNA from 1 species